rnacentral:rRNA from 1 species
AUUGAACGCUGGCGGCAGGCUUAACACAUGCAAGUCGAGCGGAGAUGAGGUGCUUGCACCUUAUCUUAGCGGCGGACGGGUGAGUAAUGCUUAGGAAUCUGCCUAUUAGUGGGGGACAACAUUCCGAAAGGAAUGCUAAUACCGCAUACGUCCUACGGGAGAAAGCAGGGGAUCUUCGGACCUUGCGCUAAUAGAUGAGCCUAAGUCGGAUUAGCUAGUUGGUGGGGUAAAGUCCUACCAAGGCGACGAUCUGUAGCGGGUCUGAGAGGAUGAUCGGCCCACCUGGGAGUGAGAGACGGCCCAGAUUCGUACGGGAGGAAGCAGUAGGGAAUAUUGGGAAAUGGGGGAAACCAUGAUCCAGCCAUGCCGCGUGUGUGAAGAAGGCCUUAUGGUUGUAAAGCACUUUAAGCGAGGAGGAGGCUACUGAGACUAAUACUCUUGGAUAGUGGACGUUACUCGCAGAAUAAGCACCGGCUAACUCUGUGCCAGCCGCCGCCGUAA